rnacentral:rRNA from 1 species
CAACUGACGCUGAGGCGCGAAAGCGUGGGGAGCAAACAGGAUUAGAUACCCUGGUAGUCCACGCUGUAAACGAUGGAUACUAGGUGUGGGGGGACUGACCCCUUCCGUGCCGGAGUUAACGCAAUAAGUAUCCCACCUGGGGAGUACGGCCGCAAGGCUGAAACUCAAAGGAAUUGACGGGGGCCCGCACAAGCAGUGGAGUAUGUGGUUUAAUUCGAAGCAACGCGAAGAACCUUACCAGGGCUUGACAUCCCUCUAACGAAGCAGAGAUGCAUAAGGUACCCUUCGGGGGAAGAGGAGACAGGUGGUGCAUGGUUGUCGUCAGCUCGUGUCGUGAGAUGUUGGGUUAAGUCCCGCAACGAGCGCAACCCUUAUUGUUAGUUGCUACGCAAGAGCACUCUAGCGAGACUGCCGUUGACAAAACGGAGGAAGGCGGGGACGACGUCAAAUCAUCAUGCCCCUUAUGUCCUGGGCUACACACGUACUACAAUGGCGGCCAACAAAGUGAAGCGAAGCGGUGACGUGGAGCGAAUCACAAAAAGCCGCCCCAGUUCAGAUUGCAGGCUGCAACCCGCCUGCAUGAAGGUGGAAUGCUAGUAA